rnacentral:rRNA from 1 species
UACGGAGGGGGCUAGCGUUGCUCGGAAUCACUGGGCGUAAAGCGCACGUAGGCGGCUUUUUAAGUCAGGGGUGAAAUCCUGGAGCUCAACUCCAGAACUGCCUUUGAUACUGAGAAGCUUGAGUCUGGGAGAGGUGAGUGGAACUGCGAGUGUAGAGGUGAAAUUCGUAGAUAUUCGCAAGAACACCAGUGGCGAAGGCGGCUCACUGGCCCGGUACUGACGCUGAGGUGCGAAAGCGUGGGGAGCAAACAGG